GAUGAACGCUAGCUACAGGCUUAACACAUGCAAGUCGAGGGGAAACGACAUUGAAAGCUUGCUUUUGAUGGGCGUCGACCGGCGCACGGGUGAGUAACGCGUAUCCAACCUGCCCACCACUUGGGGAUAACCUUGCGAAAGUAAGACUAAUACCCAAUGAUAUCUCUAGAAGACAUCUGAAAGGGAUUAAAGAUUUAUCGGUGAUGGAUGGGGAUGCGUCUGAUUAGCUUGUUGGCGGGGUAACGGCCCACCAAGGCGACGAUCAGUAGGGGUUCUGAGAGGAAGGUCCCCCACAUUGGAACUGAGACACGGUCCAAACUCCUACGGGAGGCAGCAGUGAGGAAUAUUGGUCAAUGGACGAGAGUCUGAACCAGCCAAGUAGCGUGCAGGAUGACGGCCCUAUGGGUUGUAAACUGCUUUUAUAAGGGAAUAAAGUGAGUCUCGUGAGACUUUUUGCAUGUACCUUAUGAAUAAGGACCGGCUAAUUCCGUGCCAGCCGCCGCAGUAA
rnacentral:rRNA from 1 species